GUGCCAUCCUGGUUAUUCUUCUCCGCACAUUCUCCAAGCAGCAGCCAGUAAUCUGUUGUAAAACUCUGGGAGAUUUUGCCUGAGGAAGAUGUGCAGGGCUAGAAGACAGACGCUGUUUCUCCUCAAAGCUCUAACAUUCAUUCGCAGAGGAGUAACUGUGUGUAGCAGAAGAUUGACGGUGAUCACAUCGUCUGGAGAAAAGAACUCGUUUCCAGAUUUAGAAAGCGACAAAGGUCUUCAGUCCCUCAACUAGUAGGAACUUCAGAAACCGAGCCCUGAUCAAGCCCAGCUCUGUUGCUCUGAGCCACUGGACCUGCAAGGACCUUGUGGGGACCAAGGUGGUUGCUCCUGGGAGGAUCCACAGGCCCUGGGGACAAGGGACAACACAUUAAUAUAUGAGAUGCAUUUCCCAAAAUGCUGCUGCCCUGGUACUGGGGUCAGAGCCAGAGAACUCGAUUUACAGAAAGUAACAUUUCCUAUUCACUUCAUUCUGUUGGCUAAA